rnacentral:ncRNA from 2 species
CAAUAUCGAUUCGACUGAGGUGCCCCGACGCCCGGAUGCGGGGGCUACUCAGGGGAAGCCGGUGUAAGUCCGGCGCUGUGCCGCAACUGUAACCUGGCAGGUGGCAGAUGGCAGGUGGCAGAUGGCGGAUGGCAGAUUGCAAAUGGCAGAUGGCAGAUAGCAACAUGUAGAACCGCUAUCAGCCAUCAGCUAUCAGCUAUCAGCCAUCAGCUAUCGGCUAGCGGCCAUUAGCUAUCAGCAAUCGGCCAGGAAGCCAGGAUACCCGCUUCAGUCAAUCUCCGAUA